rnacentral:rRNA from 1 species
GUGCCAGCCGCCGCGGUAAUACGUAGGGUCCGAGCGUUGUCCGGAGUUACUGGGCGUAAAGGGCGCGCAGGUGGCGGUGUUGGCCCGGCGUGAAAGCCCCCGGCUCAACCGGGGAGGGUCGUCGGGGACCGCACCGCUUGAGGGCGGUAGGGGCUGGUGGAAUGCCUGGUGUAGUGGUGAAAUGCGUAGAGAUCAGGCGGAACACCCGUAGCGAAGGCGGCCAGCUGGGCCGUCCCUGACACUGAGGCGCGAAGGCGUGGGGAGCGAACGGGAUUAGAUACCCUCGUAGUCC